CCGGGAAUCACCUACCCUCCAUGCAGCAUAUCUGUUCCUCUCACCCAUCCUGCAAGCCAGAAUGAUAGCACCCUAGAAAUAAGGAAACAGAAGCAGGAAGUUAAGCAAUGUGCCCAAGGUCAUACGGCCCAGACUGGAGCCAUGAUGCAAAUGAAAGCACCUGGGACCUAAACCAGCUUGCUUUCCAGGAUAUCACCCCACUAGCCCCAAAAGCAUCCUGCAUAGACAACUGGCCGCACUGAACCUUGACAAUCCAGGCUUUCAUCAGAAAACAGCCAUAGGCUCUCUAUGGUCUUACCAAAAUAUUGGCUUUGAGAACUAAUUUUGAAUAAAGAUUAUUGACCCGAUUUUCAGGAAGAUUAGCCCUGAGCUAACAUCAGCCGCCAAUCCUCCUCUUUUUGCUGAGGAAGACUGGCCCUGAGCUAACAUCCAUGCCCAUCUGCCUCUACUUUAUACAUGGCAUGCCUGCCACAGCAUGGCUUGCCAAGCGGUGCCACGUCUGCACUUGGGAUCCAAACCGGUGAACCCCGGGCCUCUGAAGCUGAACUUGCGAACUUAACCGCUGCGCCCCUGGGCCGGCCCCUCCCUAAGCUUCUCAUUUCUCCAUUUCCUCUUUUGUCUCCUCCAUCUCAUCCUCACUUUGAAACAGGAUGAGUUGAAACAGUUUGUUGUCCCAGUUUCGGUUCUGGAAAGGGACAGCUCCUCAGGGAUAGCAGUGACAUGCUUUUCUCUUCUCACAUUGCUUCUCUUUAAAGAUUUUACAGGACCUACGUCUGCAUUUACAUCUGAAAGGAGUAAUUUCAUUCUGAGCCACAUCCUUGCCAAAGUUUAUUGAGAAUAUUGGUAAAGGACAACAAAUUUACAAGAAUCCUUUCUUUAAAAACUAGGCAGGGGGCUGGCCCCGUGGCCGAGUGGUUAAGUUCGCGUGCUCCGCUGCAGGCGGCCCAGUGUUUCGUUGGUUCGAAUCCUGGGCGCGGACAUGGCACAGCUCAUCAAACCACGCUGAGGCAGCGUCCCACAUGCCACAACUAGAAGGACCCACAGUGAAGAAUAUACAACUAUGUACCAGGGGACUUUGGGAAGAAAAAGGAA
rnacentral:lncRNA from 1 species